GGAUGCCAUAGGUGGGCUUGGACAAACCGAUCCAGACGGUUCCCACAGGCCCGUUCGGCCCGGGCGGCACCACC
rnacentral:tRNA from 1 species